AUUGAACGCUGGCGGCAUGCUUUACACAUGCAAGUCGAACGGCAGCGCGGGGCAACCUGGCGGCGAGUGGCGAACGGGUGAGUAAUACAUCGGAACGUACCCAGAAGUGGGGGACAACGUAGCGAAAGUUACGCUAAUACCGCAUACGACCUAAGGGUGAAAGUGGGGGACCGCAAGGCCUCAUGCUUUUGGAGCGGCCGAUGUCUGAUUAGCUAGUUGGUGAGGUAAAGGCUCACCAAGGCGACGAUCAGUAGCUGGUCUGAGAGGACGACCAGCCACACUGGGACUGAGACACGGCCCAGACUCCUACGGGAGGCAGCAGUGGGGAAUUUUGGACAAUGGGGGCAACCCUGAUCCAGCAAUGCCGCGUGAGUGAAGAAGGCCUCGGUUGUAAGACUCUUUUGUUCUAGGGAAGGAAACGGUUACGUGGUUAA
rnacentral:rRNA from 1 species